rnacentral:rRNA from 1 species
UACGAAGGGGGCUAGCGUUGCUCGGAAUCACUGGGCGUAAAGGGUGCGUAGGCGGGUCUUUAAGUCAGGGGUGAAAUCCUGGAGCUCAACUCCAGAACUGCCCUUGAUACUGGCGGUCUCGAGUCCGGGAGAGGUGAGUGGAACUGCGAGUGUAGAGGUGAAAUUCGUAGAUAUUCGCAAGAACACCAGUGGCGAAGGCGGCUCACUGGCCCGGUACUGACGCUGAGGUGCGAAAGCGUGGGGAGCAAACAGG